UUAAGCGACUAAGCGUACACGGUGGAUGCCCUGGCAGUCAGAGGCGAUGAAGGACGUGCUAAUCUGCGAAAAGCGUCGGUAAGGUGAUAUGAACCGUUACAGCCGGCGAUGUCCGAAUGGGGAAACCCAGUGCAAUUCGUUGCACUAUCGUUAACUGAAUACAUAGGUUAACGAGGCGAACCGGGGGAACUGAAACAUCUAAGUACCCCGAGGAAAAGAAAUCAACCGAGAUUCCCCCAGUAGCGGCGAGCGAACGGGGAGCAGCCCAGAGUCUGAAUCAGCUUGUGUGUUAGUGGAACGGUCUGGAAAGUCCGACGGUACAGGGUGAUAGUCCCGUACACCAAAAUGCACAGGUUGUGAACUCGAAGAGUAGGGCGGGACACGUGGUAUCCUGUCUGAAUAUGGGGGGACCAUCCUCCAAGGCUAAAUACUCCUGACUGACCGAUAGUGAACCAGUACCGUGAGGGAAAGGCGAAAAGAACCCCGGCGAGGGGAGUGAAAAAGAACCUGAAACCGUGUACGUACAAGCAGUGGGAGCACCUUCGGGUGUGACUGCGUACCUUUUGUAUAAUGGGUCAGCGACUUAUAUUCUGUAGCAAGGUUAACCGUAUAGGGGAGCCGCAGGGAAACCGAGUCUUAACUGGGCGUUAAGUUGCAGGGUAUAGACCCGAAACCCGGUGAUCUAGCCAUGGGCAGGUUGAAGGUUGGGUAACACUAACUGGAGGACCGAACCGACUAAUGUUGAAAAAUUAGCGGAUGACUUGUGGCUGGGGGUGAAAGGCCAAUCAAACCGGGAGAUAGCUGGUUCUCCCCGAAAGCUAUUUAGGUAGCGCCUCGUGAACUCAUCUUCGGGGGUAGAGCACUGUUUCGGCUAGGGGGUCAUCCCGACUUACCAACCCGAUGCAAACUACGAAUACCGAAGAAUGUUAUCACGGGAGACACACGGCGGGUGCUAACGUCCGUCGUGAAGAGGGAAACAACCCAGACCGCCAGCUAAGGUCCCAAAGUCAUGGUUAAGUGGGAAACGAUGUGGGAAGGCACAGACAGCCAGGAUGUUGGCUUAGAAGCAGCCAUCAUUUAAAGAAAGCGUAAUAGCUCACUGGUCGAGUCGGCCUGCGCGGAAGAUGUAACGGGGCUAAACCAUGCACCGAAGCUGCGGCAGCGACACUAUGUGUUGUUGGGUAGGGGAGCGUUCUGUAAGCCUGCGAAGGUGUGCUGUGAGGCAUGCUGGAGGUAUCAGAAGUGCGAAUGCUGACAUAAGUAACGAUAAAGCGGGUGAAAAGCCCGCUCGCCGGAAGACCAAGGGUUCCUGUCCAACGUUAAUCGGGGCAGGGUGAGUCGACCCCUAAGGCGAGGCCGAAAGGCGUAGUCGAUGGGAAACAGGUUAAUAUUCCUGUACUUGGUGUUACUGCGAAGGGGGGACGGAGAAGGCUAUGUUAGCCGGGCGACGGUUGUCCCGGUUUAAGCAUGUAGGCUGGUUAUCCAGGCAAAUCCGGAUAAUCAAGGCUGAGGUGUGAUGACGAGGCACUACGGUGCUGAAGUAACAAAUGCCCUGCUUCCAGGAAAAGCCUCUAAGCAUCAGGUAACAUUAAAUCGUACCCCAAACCGACACAGGUGGUCAGGUAGAGAAUACCAAGGCGCUUGAGAGAACUCGGGUGAAGGAACUAGGCAAAAUGGUGCCGUAACUUCGGGAGAAGGCACGCUGGUGUGUAGGUGAAGUCCCUGCGGAUGGAGCUGAGACCAGUCGAAGAUACCAGCUGGCUGCAACUGUUUAUUAAAAACACAGCACUGUGCAAACACGAAAGUGGACGUAUACGGUGUGACGCCUGCCCGGUGCCGGAAGGUUAAUUGAUGGGGUUAUCCGUAAGGAGAAGCUCUUGAUCGAAGCCCCGGUAAACGGCGGCCGUAACUAUAACGGUCCUAAGGUAGCGAAAUUCCUUGUCGGGUAAGUUCCGACCUGCACGAAUGGCGUAAUGAUGGCCAGGCUGUCUCCACCCGAGACUCAGUGAAAUUGAACUCGCUGUGAAGAUGCAGUGUACCCGCGGCAAGACGGAAAGACCCCGUGAACCUUUACUAUAGCUUGACACUGAACAUUGAGCCUUGAUGUGUAGGAUAGGUGGGAGGCUUUGAAGCGUGGACGCCAGUCUGCGUGGAGCCAACCUUGAAAUACCACCCUUUAAUGUUUGAUGUUCUAACGUUGGCCCCUGACCGGGGUUGCGGACAGUGUCUGGUGGGUAGUUUGACUGGGGCGGUCUCCUCCCAAAGCGUAACGGAGGAGCACGAAGGUUAGCUAAUCCUGGUCGGACAUCAGGAGGUUAGUGCAAUGGCAUAAGCUAGCUUGACUGCGAGCGUGACGGCGCGAGCAGGUGCGAAAGCAGGUCAUAGUGAUCCGGUGGUUCUGAAUGGAAGGGCCAUCGCUCAACGGAUAAAAGGUACUCCGGGGAUAACAGGCUGAUACCGCCCAAGAGUUCAUAUCGACGGCGGUGUUUGGCACCUCGAUGUCGGCUCAUCACAUCCUGGGGCUGAAGUAGGUCCCAAGGGUAUGGCUGUUCGCCAUUUAAAGUGGUACGCGAGCUGGGUUUAGAACGUCGUGAGACAGUUCGGUCCCUAUCUGCCGUGGGCGCUGGAGAAUUGAGGGGGGCUGCUCCUAGUACGAGAGGACCGGAGUGGACGCAUCACUGGUGUUCGGGUUGUCAUGCCAAUGGCACUGCCCGGUAGCUAAAUGCGGAAGAGAUAAGUGCUGAAAGCAUCUAAGCACGAAACUUGCCCCGAGAUGAGUUCUCCCUGAGACUAUAAGUCUCCUGAAGGAACGUUAAAGACGAUGACGUUGAUAGGCCGGGUGUGUAAGCGCAGCGAUGCGUUGAGCUAACCGGUACUAAUGAACCGUGAGGCUUAACCUU
rnacentral:rRNA from 1 species